rnacentral:rRNA from 1 species
CCUACGGGAGGUAGCAGUGAGGAAUAUUGGUCAAUGGACGAGAGUCUGAACCAGCCAAGUAGCGUGAAGGAUGACUGCCCUAUGGGUUGUAAACUUCUUUUAUAUGGGAAUAAAAUGUUCCACGUGUGGGUUUUUGUAUGUACCAUAUGAAUAAGGAUCGGAUAACUCCGUGCCAGCAGCCGCGGUAAUACGGAGGAUACGAGCGUUAUCCGGAUUUAUUGGGGUUAAAGGGAGCGUAGGUGGAUUGUUAAGUCAGUUGUGAAAGUUUGCGGCUCAACCGUAAAAUUGCAGUUGAAACUGGCAGUCUUGAGUACAGUAGAGGUGGGCGGAAUUCGUGGUGGAGCGGUGAAAUGCUUAGAUAUCACGAAGAACUCCGAUUGCGAAGGCAGCUCACUGGACUGCAACUGACACUGAGGCUCGAAAGUGUGGGUAUCAAACAGGAUUAGAUACCCUAGUAGUC